rnacentral:rRNA from 1 species
UACGGAGGAUGCGAGCGUUAUCCGGAUUUAUUGGGUUUAAAGGGUGCGUAGGCGGUCCGUUAAGUCAGCGGUAAAAUUGCGGGGCUCAACCCCGUCGAGCCGUUGAAACUGUCAGACUUGAGUUGGCGAGAAGUACGCGGAAUGCGCGGUGUAGUGGUGAAAUGCAUAGAUAUCACGCAGAACCCCGAUUGCGAAGGCAGCCUUCCGGCGCCCUACUGACGCUGAGGCUCGAAAGUGCGGGGAUCGAACAGG